CAAGUGCUAUUUUUAAGGUUUUUGCUAUUUUCCAAGAAAGGUAACUCUGUCGGCCUUGUUUGAUUUUAAUCUUUACUUUUGUGUGAUUAUGUCCCCUUGACCACAUUUGCUAUUUGCUCAACCAUAACGUUUCCCUCCUAAAGUUAGGGUCACUUGAGGUCAUUCUUUGUGUUAAAGAAGUUGUUGGUCAUUGUGACAUGUAGAUGUGUUGGUUUAAUAUUAUUAAUAAGGUUUUGGAUUGAGGAAUUGGUAUUUUUUACAGCAUAAUUAACAGCAAAGUGAGAUAGGUGUGAGUGACAGAGGUACAUGUAUAUUUACAGAGUCUGAUCCACAAUUGGGCUUGGUAGAUGUGAUAUAGAUGUGAUGUAGAUGUGAUGUAACUGUGAUGUGUAUGUUGUAUGAUGUAUGACAUAUGAUGUUUGCUGUUGAGAUGUACCAAAUUGGAAUUAUAUAUAAAGCUAGUGUCCACUACAAAUUAAAUUGAUGAACCAGUAACCCUCAGUUUGUUCUUUACUUAUACAAGGCAAAAAGACAUCGGGGUCACAAAUGGCGCCCAACGGAGUUUAAUAAGUGGACAUUUAAAAUUUUAUAUUUGUUUCCUGUGUGAACACUUUUCACUGAACAUUUUUAAUAUUUUUAAUUGAAAUUAAACAGUGAAGUGCAGGAAGUUCUACCAACAGUGUAUUAUAUUAUACAAGUAUUUUCAUAUAGUUUGUUUAUUAAACAGACAGUUCUUCAUAUAGUAAAUCAUUUUAGAAUAUUUACGAGAUGUGUUAAAUUUGAAUACUCAUCAGUUAACUUAUACAGACAUUAUUUGAGAAUAUUAUUCGCUACAAGAAUUCAUCACUUCCCAGUGUAGAUCAAGGAUUGUUCACUUUAAGAAGUUAUCAUAAUUAAAAUUGACUAGUGACAGAAGUUUAUAUACAUUGAUUUUAUGUUGUGAAUUUUUGUAUUGCAGGUUUAGAUUUCCAAUGGUAUCUGUAUCUGUUAAGUAGUGUAUUAGUGCUCUAGUGACCAAAGUCAAGAACUUUCAGUACAUCAGAUUUUUUACAGCAUAAUUAACAGCAAAGUGAGAUAGGUGUGAGUGACAGAGGUACAUGUAUAUUUACAGAGUCUGAUCCACAAUUGGGCUUGGUAGAUGUGAUAUAGAUGUGAUGUAGAUGUGAUGUAAAUGUGAUGUGUAUGUUGUAUGAUGUAUGACAUAUGAUGUUUGAUGUUGAGAUGUACCAAAUUGGAAUUAUAUAUAAAGCUAGUGUCCACUACAAAUUAAAUUGAUGAACCAGUAACCCUCAGUUUGUUCUUUACUUAUACAAGGCAAAAAGACAUCGGGGUC